rnacentral:misc_RNA from 1 species
AGCACAUCGAUUUAAAUACGCUAAUAGGCGAUAAAAUAUAAAGACAAGUUUCCCCCGACGGAUACGAGGCGCUCAGAAUUUUCUUGUAAUACCGGGGCGAGAGAAGUGUAUAUUCACUAACGAGAAGCGAACGAGCGGAACGUGGGAGAUAAUAUCUACACAUUCACUCACAUUAAGUUCGUCACCAAUCGUCACUGUCAUUGAACGUUGAAGUGGAAAUCCAGUUACGUGCAG